CACUGCUUGGCUGCGUCAUCCAGCCAGUCUCCAACACAGCUCCCCAUGUAAACCAGAGGGGAGUUGUGCUCACAAACUGGCACAGAGAAGCCCAUAAUUACACAUACAUGACUAGAGGCUCUGAAUUUAUAACCAGCCUGACUAGAGUUGGACUCCUAAAUCCGUAAUCCUUCAUCUAAGUGAAUGAAGACAACGAGUCCAACUGCUCCAAAUAGCAAGAUGAAGGAGAACAUACAGGUCAGCCUCAUAAUUACUGUUCUCAGAUCAAUCCAGUUCUGAGGCAGGAAAAGAAGUACAUUCGAUCUCCAGGGCACUCUUCACUCAUAGUCUCAUCCUCUCAUCUGGAAGUCUGGUGUAAUACAUCUACAAGAAAUAAAAAAAACAAACCCCUUAAACUUAA